rnacentral:rRNA from 1 species
AGUUUGAUCAGUGGCUACGAGGACGAACGCUGGCGGCGUGCUUAAAACAUGCAAGUCGAACGGAGUUUGAUUUGUCCUCGGAACAAGAUUAAACUUAGUGGCGGACGGGUGAGUAACACGUGAGCAACCUGCCUUUCACUGGGGAAUAACACUUAGAAAUAGGUGCUAAUACCGCAUAUGACCACAACCCGGCAUCGGGAAAAGGGUAAAAGAUUUAUCGGUGAAAGAGGGGCUUGCGCCUCAUUAGCUAGUUGGUAAGGGUAACGGCCUACCAAGGCAACGAUGAGUAGCCGAUCUGAGAGGAUGAACGGCCACACUGGAACUGAGACACGGUCCAGACUCCUACGGGAGGCAGCAGUGGGGAAUAUUGCACAAUGGGCGACAAGCCUGAUGCAGCGACGCCGCGUGAGCGAAGUAAGGUUUUCGGAUACGUAAAGCUCUGUCCGUUUGGGAAAGAAAAAAUGACGGUACCAAAGGAGGAACGCCCCGGCUAACUACGUGCCAGCCGCGGC